rnacentral:sRNA from 1 species
CGCCGGGGCAGUGCUUGGGGCCAGUGGCCAGGCCACCCUCCCAGGAGGUAGCAGUGAUCUGUGGCUAGUUCCUGGCAGCUGGUG